rnacentral:rRNA from 1 species
GGCAGCAGUGGGGAAUAUUNGGCAAUGGGGGCAAGCCUGAUCCAGCCAUACCGCGUGUGUGAAGAAGGCCUUCGGGUUGUAAAGCCCUUUUGUUGGGAAAGAAAUCCCGCUGGCUAAUACCCGGUUGGGAUGACGGUACCCAAAGAAUAAGCACCGGCUAACUUCGUGCCAGCAGCCGCGGUAAUACGAAGGGUGCAAGCGUUACUCGGAAUUACUGGGCGUAAAGCGUGCGUAGGUGGUCGUUUAAGUCCGUUGUGAAAGCCCUGGGCUCAACCUGGGAACUGCAGUGGAUACUGGGCGACUAGAAUGUGGUAGAGGGUAGCGGAAUUCCUGGUGUAGCAGUGAAAUGCGUAGAGAUCAGGAGGAACAUCCAUGGCGAAGGCAGCUACCUGGACCAACAUUGACACUGAGGCACGAAAGCGUGGGGAGCAAACAGGAUUAGAUACCCUGGUAGUCCACGCCCUAAACGAUGCGAACUGGAUGUUGGGUGCAAUUUGGCACGCAGUAUCGAAGCUAACGCGUUAAUUUCCCCCCCUGGGGAGUACGGUCGCAAGACUGAAACUCAA